rnacentral:rRNA from 1 species
GAUGAACGCUAGCUACAGGCUUAACACAUGCAAGUCGAGGGGCAGCGGGAUUGAAGCUUGCUUCAAUUGCCGGCGACCGGCGCACGGGUGAGUAACGCGUAUCCAACCUUCCGUACACUCAGGGAUAGCCUUUCGAAAGAAAGAUUAAUACCUGAUGGUAUGAUGAGAUUGCAUGAUAGCAUCAUUAAAGAUUUAUCGGUGUACGAUGGGGAUGCGUUCCAUUAGGUAGUAGGCGGGGUAACGGCCCACCUAGCCAACGAUGGAUAGGGGUUCUGAGAGGAAGGUCCCCCCACAUUGGAACUGAGACACGGUCCAAACUCCUACGGGAGGCAGCAGUGAGGAAUAUUGGUCAAUGGACGAGAGUCUGAACCAGCCAAGUAGCGUGAAGGAUGAAGGUCCUACGGAUUGUAAACUUCUUUUAUACGGGAAUAAACGGAUCCACGUGUGGAUUUUUGCAUGUACCGUAUGAAUAAGGAUCGGCUAACUCCGUGCCAGCAGCCG